rnacentral:lncRNA from 1 species
AGUUCCCCAGUGGGCAGAGUGGGUGGAUGGGAAGGUUCUAGCUUUUUAUUUGAAAUUUUAUUUAUUUUUAUUUUAUUUAUUUAUUUAGAGACGGAGUCUCGCCCUGUCACCCAGGCUGGCGUGCAGUGGCGAGAUCUCGGAUCACUGCCGUCUCCACCUCCUGAAAUUCAAGCGAUUCUCCUGCCUCAGCCUCCCAAAUAGCUGGGAUUACAGGCGUCCACCACGCCUGGCUAAUUUUUUGUAUUUUUAGUAGAGACUGGGUUUUGCCAUGUUGGCCAGGCUGGUCUCGAACUCCUGACCUCAAGUGAUCCGCCCGCCUCGGCCUCCUAAAGUGCUAGGAUGACAGGCGUGAGCCACCGUGGCUGGUCUAAAAAAAAGUUUUUUAAAAUUAUAUUUGAACAGGUAUUACAUGUACAUACACAAUUCAAACCUCUCUGGCUGUAUACAAUAAAAGUAAGUUUCCACCUCUGGUUCCCAUUUUCCUUUCCUAAAGCACUGGUUCCCGGUUUCCUUCUGGAGCUGCUGUUAUAAUAAAGCAUUGGAGUUAAGAGCAUGUGUUGAGUUCAUAUAAAUAGCGGCUGAGCUUGACCAAGUGACUUAAUACUCUCUACUUCUACGUCCCUGUUUGUGAAUUGGGUGUGGUAUAACCUUACUUACAACAUUGCCGCCAGCAUUAAAUGGGUGAGAGUGCAUAGAACAGUGCCUGUUGCCUAAUGGUACUGUGUGUUGUCUCUGUGUAUUAUUUUGUGGUCUACCAUGCUGAUAGUUGUAGAUUCUGAGCAGCCCUCUCCCCUCCAGGCCUCAUCCCUACUGUCAUUGUCCCAGUACCAGUACCAGGUGGAGCCACCUCUCCAGGCUGCCACAGGUAGAAACACCAGUCACCCAGAAUGACUUGAGUCCACUGUUGAUGGAUUCUGGGGAAAGAUUCUGGGUGUUUGAUAAAGAUACACAUGACAGGCCAUCUCUGUAUUAUGUCUAUCAGUGUCCAAUUUUACUUCUUCAGCUCAGGCCAUAUCUGAAUUUCUCAACCCCAGAUCACUCACGAUUGCCAGUUUCACGUCAGGGCAACCCUCAGAGGUAGAAUUUUCUUAAAAGAGGGAAAGAGGAGGCCUGGCAUUGACCUUGGACCCACUGUG